rnacentral:rRNA from 1 species
CGGGACGGGUGAGUAAUGUCUGGGAAACUGCCUGAUGGAGGGGGAUAACUGCUGGAAACGGUAGCUAAUACCGCAUAACGUCGCAAGACCAAAGAGGGGGACCUUCGGGCCUCUUGCCAUCGGAUGUGCCCGGAUGGGAUUAGCUAGUAGGUGGGGUAACGGCUCACCUAGGCGACGAUCCCUAGCUGGUCUGAGAGGAUGGCCAGCCACACUGGAACUGAGACACGGUCCAG